GAUGAACGCUGGCGGCGUGCCUAAUACAUGCAAGUCGAGCGAACACACGAUAAGCUUUCUCCUCUGACGUUAGCGGCUGACGGGUGAGUAACACGUGGAUAACCUACCUAUAUUACUUGGGGAACUUCGGGAAACCAGAUCUAAUACCAGAUAAUAUAUUGUACCGCAGGGAUCAGUAGUGAAUCACGGCUUUCCUGUCACUUAUAGAUGAAUCCGUGCCGGAUUAGCUAGUUGGUAAGGUAACGGCUUACCAAGGCGACGAUGCGUAGCCGAUCUGAGAGGAUGAUCAGCCACACUGGAACUGAGACACGGUCCAGACUCCUACGGGAGGCAGCAGUAGGGAAUAUUCGGCAAUGGGCGCAAGCCUGACGCAGCAAUGCCGCGUGAGUGAUGAAGGUCUUCGGAUCGUAAAACUCUGUUGUUAGGAAAGAAAAACAGUGUAUGUAUCUCUGCCCGUCUUGACGGUACCUAAACAGAAAGCAACGGCUAACUUCGUG
rnacentral:rRNA from 1 species